GACGAACGCUGGCGGCGUGCCUAAUACAUGCAAGUUGAGCGCUGAAGGCUGGUACUUGUACCAACUGGAUGAGCAGCGCACGGGUGAGUAACGCGUGUGGAAUCUGCCUUUGAGCGGGGGACAACAUUUGGAAACGAAUGCUAAUACCGCAUAAAAACUUUAAACACAAGGUUUAAGUUUGAAAGAUGCAAUUGCAUCACUCAAAGAUGAUCCCGCGUUGUAUUAGCUAGUUGGUGAGGUAAAGGCUCAUCAAGGCGAUGAUAGAUAGCCGACCUGAGAGGGUGAUAGGCCACAUGGGGAGUGGAACACGGACAAAACGCCUAAGGGAGGCACCAGUAGGCAACGUGCGGCAGUGGACGAAAGUCUUACCGAGCAGCGCCGCGCGAGUGAAGACGGCGUUCGGAGCGGAAAACCCUCCUGCUAGAUAAGAACGUUGUUGGGAGUUGAAAGAGCGUGAAGUGAGGGAAACGAUACAGAAAGGGAGGGUAAACUACGG
rnacentral:rRNA from 1 species